rnacentral:lncRNA from 1 species
AAAUCUAUUUUCUAAGGCCCUUCUGAAAUCAAGUAGGAGCCAAACUAAGGCUACGUUGUUCCUCGAAGCAUAGUAUGGAGUCUUCUAAGGAGAAAGCUGGAAGUUGUGGGCAUGUUUCCAUCUCUUAUAGCUCAUCCCACGACUGGCUGUGCCUCUUUGGGAUUCAAAUGUUAGUGGGAAACACCCUCCUCUCCGCCUGGAGGCAAAGAUCACCACAAGUGCGCACCGACGCGCUCCUGCUGCCGUUUCCUUGCUGACAUAACCGGGAAGAAUUCCCUCGGCAGCUCCGUGGGCCGUGCACGGCUCUAUGAGGAGCACUUCCUAACUACCAGAAAGAUUAAAAUCAGCAUCUGCUACUUAAAGUAGUUGGAUUCCUGCUGUAGGCUUUACCCUGGUGUGUACUCCAAGUCAAACAAUACUGUGGUUGUGAAUCGUUGUCUCUCUUGCAGCCUUAUUUCUCAUUCUUGGCUUGUGUCCUAGAAUGGGAUCCAGAGCAGUUACUGACUACAGCAAUACAACAGAAAACGCACCACACAAGACAACAAUUGCACAAUCCCCUUGCAAGCACACUGCUCCUGUUGUGUGUUUAUGCAGAGCUGGCCCCAGAAUGCAGGUAGUUUAAAUCCCCCAGAAUGAAAAGUUAAAAAAAACAACAACACCCAAACAAAAACUUGACCUCC